AUUGAACGCUGGCGGCAGGCUUAACACAUGCAAGUCGAGCGGGGGAAGGUAGCUUGCUACCGGACCUAGCGGCGGACGGGUGAGUAAUGCUUAGGAAUCUGCCUAUUAGUGGGGGACAACAUCUCGAAAGGGAUGCUAAUACCGCAUACGUCCUACGGGAGAAAGCAGGGGAUCUUCGGACCUUGCGCUAAUAGAUGAGCCUAAGUCGGAUUAGCUAGUUGGUGGGGUAAAGGCCUACCAAGGCGACGAUCUGUAGCGGGUCUGAGAGGAUGAUCCGCCACACUGGGACUGAGACACGGACCAGACUCCUACGGGAGGCAGCAGUGGAGAAUAUUGGACGAUGGGGGGAACCCUGAUCCAGCCAUGCCGCGUGUGUGAAGAAGGCCUUAUGGUUGUAAAGCACUUUAAGCGAGGAGGAGGCUACUCUAGUUAAUACCUAGGGAUAGUGGACGUUACUCGCAGAAUAAGCACCGGCUAACUCUGUGCCAGCAGCCGCCGUAA
rnacentral:rRNA from 1 species